rnacentral:rRNA from 1 species
GAUGAACGCUGGCGGCGUGCCUAAUACAUGCAAGUCGAGCGAACAGACGAGGAGCUUGCUCCUCUGACGUUAGCGGCGGACGGGUGAGUAACACGUGGAUAACCUACCUAUAAGACUGGGAUAACUUCGGGAAACCGGAGCUAAUACCGGAUAAUAUAUUGAACCGCAUGGUUCAAUAGUGAAAGACGGUGUUGCUGUCACUUAUAGAUGGAUCCGCGCCGCAUUAGCUAGUUGGUAAGGUAACGGCUUACCAAGGGAACGAUGCGUAGCCGACCUGAGGGGGUGAUAGGCCACACUGGAACUGGGACACGGUCCAGACUCCUAAGGGAGGCAGCAGUAGGGAAUCGUCCGCAAUGGGCGAAAGCUUGACGGAGCAACGCCGCGUGAGUGAUGAAGGUCUUCGGAUCGUAAAACUCUGUUAUUAGGGAAGAACAAAUGUGUAAGUAACUAUGCACGUCUUGACGGUACCUAAUCAGAAAGCCACGGCUAACUACGUG